GUGAGUGUAGCUCAGUGGUAGAACACUUGCCUUGCAUGCACAAGCCCUGGGUUAAAUCCCUAGCACAAGCA
rnacentral:tRNA from 1 species